GACGAACGCUGGCGGCGUGCUUAAUACAUGCAAGUCAACUGAACUUUAGGUAGCAAUAUUUAAAGGGAGGUGGCGCACGGGUGAGUAACACGUAGGUAAUCUGCCUUCAGGACUGACAUAAUUCCGCGAAAGCGGGACUAAAAUCAGAUGAUGCAGCGGCUCGACAUCGAGACAGUUGUUAAACCUUCGGGGCCUGAAGAUGAGCCUGCGUCUGAUUAGGUAGUUGGCGGGGUAAUGGCCCACCAAGCCUGCGAUCAGUAGCUGGUCUGAGAGGAUGAUCAGCCACACUGGAACUGAGACACGGUCCAGACUCCUACGGGAGGCAGCAGUAAGGAAUAUUGCUCAAUGGGAGAAAUCCUGAAGCAGCAACGCCGCGUGGAGGAUGAAAUACUUUAGUAUGUAAACUCCUGUAAGAGGGGAAAAAUAUACAGUUCUGCUGUAUUGAUUGUACCCUCAGAGUAAGCACCGGCUAACUACGUG
rnacentral:rRNA from 1 species